GAUGAAGAACGCAGCGAAAUGCGAUAAGUAAUGUGAAUUGCAGAAUUCAGUGAAUCAUCGAAUCUUUGAACGCACCUUGCUCUCCUUGGUAUUCCUUGGAGCAUGCCUGUUUGAGUAUCAUGAAAUUCUCAAAGUAAAUCUUUUUGUUAAUUCAAUUAGGUUCACUUUGGAUUUGGAGGUUUUUUGCAGCUUCACACCUGCUCCUCUUUGUGCAUUAGCUGGAUCUCAGUGUUAUGCUUGGUUCCACUCGGCGUGAUAAGUUAUCUAUCGCUGAGGUCACUUUUUUGUUUUUUUCUAAAAAAAUAAAAUAACUAAGUGGCCAAGGGAAAUGCAGAUGAACCGCUUCCAAUAGUCCAUUAGCUUGGACAAAUAUAUUUUUAUGAUCUGAUCUCAAAUCAGGUAGGACUACCCGCUGAACUUAAGCAUAUCAAUAAGCGGAGGA
rnacentral:misc_RNA from 1 species